GUUUAAACUAAUGCGUUUAUAUGCCUUUAUUAAGGGUGCAUGUUAGAAAAGUGUUUAAACUAAUACGUUUAUAUGCCUUUAUUAAGGGUGCAUGAUAGAAAAGUGUUUAAACUAAUGCGUUUAUAAGCUUUUAUUAAGGGUGCAUGUUAGAAAAGUGUUUAAACUAAUGCGUUUAUAUGCCUUUAUUAAGGGUGCAUGUUAGAAAAGUGUUUAAACUAAUACGUUUAUAAGCUUUUAUUAAGGGUGCAUGUUAGAAAAGUGUUUAAACUAAUGCGUUUAUAAGCUUUUAUUAAGGGGUGCGUGUUAGAAAAGUGUUUAAACUAAUGCGUUUAUAAGCCUUUAUUAAGGGUGCGUGUUAGAAAAGUGUUUAAACUAAUGCGUUUAUAAGCUUUCAUUAAGGGUGCAUGAUAGAAAAGUGUUUAAACUAAUGCGUUUAUAAGCCUUUAUUAAGGGUUGCAUGUUAGAAAAGUGUUUAAACUAAUGCGUUUAUAAGCAUUUAUUAAGGGUGCAUGUUAGAAAAGUGUUUAAACUAAUGCGUUUAUAAGCUUUUAUUAAGGGUGCAUGUUAGAAAAGUGUUUAAACUAAUACGUUUAUAAGCUUUUAUUAAGGGUGCAUGUUAGAAAAGUGUUUAAACUAAUGCGUUUAUAAGCUUUUAUUAAGGGUUGCAUGUUAGAAAAGUGUUUAAACUAAUGCGUUUAUAAGCCUUUAUUAAGGGUUGCAUGUUAGAAAAGUGUUUAAACUAAUGCGUUUAUAAGCUUUUAUUAAGGGGUGCAUGUUAGAAAAGUGUUUAAACUAAUGCGUUUAUAAGCUUUUAUUAAGGGUUGCAUGUUAGAAAAGUGUUUAAACGAAUGCGUUUAUAAGCCUUUAUUAAGGGUUGCAUGUUAGAAAAGUGUUUAAGCUAAUGCGUUUAUAAGCUUUUAUUAAGGGUGCAUGUUAGAAAAGUGUUUAAACUAAUGCGUUUAUAAGCUUUUAUUAAGGGUGCAUGUUAGAAAAGUGUUUAAACUAAUGCAUUUAUAAGCUUUUAUUAAGGGUGCAUGUUAGAAAAGUGUUUAAACUAAUGCGUUUAUAAGCUUUUAUUAAGGGGUGCAUGUUAGAAAAGUGUUUAAACUAAUGCGUUUAUAAGCUUUUAUUAAGGGUGCAUGUUAGAAAAGUGUUUAAACUAAUGCGUUUAUAAGCCUUUAUUAAGGGUGCAUGUUAGAAAAGUGUUUAAACUAAUGCGUUUAUAAGCUUUUAUUAAGGGUGCAUGUUAGAAAAGUGUUUAAACUAAUGCGUUUAUAAGCUUUUAUUAAGGGUGCAUGUUAGAAAAGUGUUUAAACUAAUGCGUUUAUAAGCUUUUAUUA